rnacentral:tRNA from 1 species
GGAUAUAGCUCAGUGGUAGAGUGCAUGCUCAGCAUGCAUUGAGGUCCUGGGUUCAAUUCCUAGUACCUCCA